ensembl:lncRNA
CAGGCUUUGAGGAAGACAGGCAGACACAACAGUAAAAUAUAGCUUCUUUGGGACCUGGAAUCAAGACACUUGGAAAACAACAGCUUAGUGAAGACAAAAAGUAGAUUUCCAGGAAUCAAGAGAGUCACCAAGAAAACCAGAAACUACAGAGGAACUGAAGACAACACAGAGAAAAGAAAGAAGCAGUGUGGACAGCUAAUGCUAGGGGGGCCCUGACUCCAUCCACAGAUGCAAGCACAGAGCUCAGUGGACUGUUUGCUUCUCCAUCUGCUGACAUGAUGAGGGAUACGCCUCAGCUUGGACAGUUCCCACAUCCUGAGUAUACGAAGGGACCACUGGAGCAAAGGAGGCACCUCACAAGCCCACAGGCCACAAAGCCAAUUAGAGAAAGCAUGACUUGGUGCACACAGAAGGGCACAAACACUAGGAACUGCUAGAGUGACUGCAGCCUUGAGGCAGAGAACAUACCAUGGACUGUGACACUUAUUGGGAAAGGCAGGACAGGAUUCGGCAUUCACACAGCACAGAGUGGACUUGAAAACAAAAUAGGUCCCAGCCCUGAGGUUUGUGUCUAAACAGAGAAAGUGGC